GAAGAAGGAGCAAGCCCAGGAGAAAAACAACGAGCAGGAGAAGAAGGCCCUGGAUUGCUGUUGCUGGAGUGUUUACGGAAACAUGAUCUUCUCCCAUGUAUAGUGCGGUCACAUUUCAUGUCUACAACUCUCCAUCAAUGCACGCCGUAUAGACCAUUCUAUGCUUCUUUCUAUUAGGAACAGUGUAGAAGAGCAUUCAUAUGUUAGAUUAAAUCAGUAAAUUGAAGAUAACACAACUUACCCUGUUGGUAAAAUCAGUAAAUAGACAAAUAUUCUUCUUUAUAAGUCUGUUUGCAUUGGAUGUACAUAACUGUCGUUUUUACCUCUUGCAUAUUUAACAUACAUGACAAUAGUAGUAGGCUAUUGAAAUAUAUGCAAAGGUAGACACGAUCUUUGCUGCUUGUGUCUUAAAUAAAUAAAUAAAAUUAUGUAAUGAUGAUCUGAAAUGUCACACAGGUGACCAUUGGUGCUGCCACCGCCCGUUGUGCCAGUUGGAGGUGCUGCUGCUGCAUCUGGUGGAGUUGCAGCUGCCGCUCCAAAGGGCAACCUUCAUCAGACACAACCCCAUAACAGGGCCUCAAGGUUCUGUUCCCCAUCGCCCCUCUUUCUAAAUUACUGAAAUGAAAAUGGCCAGGCCUGAUGUGCCUCCUGUAUCUAUUGCUCGUUUUAUUAUGAUUUGAUUCACCAAGAGUGAUUCUUCUACUAUCUUGUAGUAAGAUUAAAUGGAACAGCGAGGGAUGUUCCUAAUUCGGUUAUUGCUAGAAUAAUUCAUCAACUUGAGAUAUGCGGGGAUGUUCCGCCUGUCCUUACUGAAGAAGAUUAGAAUGGAAUUAAUUGGAUGGUCCCUUUCAUCAUGCUUAAUUAGCUGUAAAUGUGCCCCCCUUACUGAAGAAGAUAAGAAUCCAUAUGUGUUAUGCAAAAUUAACUUUGUCAUCUUGUAAGUGCUCUAGGCAGUGUCUAGAGGGUGAAAAAUAUGAGAACAAAAAAGAAUUACUUGAUUAAUUUACAACAUCCAUCCUUUACUCCGUCCGUGUCAUUGUUGUUUACCCCUGGGAGUAUUUUUAACUUGAAAAUCUCUGGUGAACUGCCAUUUGGAGUAUAUUUGCUUUCCCUGUUAAUUUUUUGGGUUACUCCAUCUUGCUCUAUUAAGUAAAAUUUGAUAUGUGGAGUAGCAGCAGUAAGCUAGACCCUCCGUCAAUAGACUACACCACAGAGGUCACCCUCAUAUGGAUACCUGAGAUGUUCCUAACGAAUAAAAAUGCACCUGUUAGUUUAAUUCAAUCAUGCACCUAGUAGUUUAAUAGGUACUAUUGAUUGAAUAUGAAUGUUAUUCCAUAUACUCAAAUGGAACUUCGAUGGUUUUUAAACCUUGUCGUGUAUGUGAAACAUUCCAUGCUCGUUUGCUGCUAAGUUUGUCAUAUGUGCCAAUUCAAUUCCCAAUUUUGAUGAAUAGCCAUAUUCUGGAUAAGUAGAAUGAUCUGGUUAAUAAUAAUAAUAAGUAGAAUGAUAAUAUACUGGUGUAUCUUUACUUUUUAUUUUAAAAGUACUCUGUAUUCUAUCAGUGACAUACCUUUUGUUCUCUUUUGAAUGCUCAGAUGUCUUGCAUCAGCCUGUCAUUGCUAAGGGAGAAGCGGGACUUGGAGAAGAAAUCUUUCCAUUAAGCAGAUUACAUGUUUGGUUGCUGUGAAGUACCAGAUAGGCUAGUUCUAUUUUUUUCACGAUCCUGGAGUAUUUCAGCAGCGCCAUGCAAAUGCAGUAGUGUUAGGUUUCUGAUUCACCUUUUGUAAAAACUUAGUUAGCCCGCAGUCAGUCAGUAGUAGCUCAGCCAGCCAGCCAGCCUCAUAUAGUAUUGCUAGAAUGAAUGGUUGUAAUAUAAUAACAUUGCACGUUGCUUUGAAAAUGUAUCAGAACUGGGCUAGGCCCAAGAUAGCUUGUGGUGUGAUGUGUUGUAAUGUCAAUGGCAUAAUAUUUUUUUUGGAUUGGAUCAAUUUUUUCGGAACUGGGCUAGGCCCAAGUUAUAUUGGACAAUUAUUUUUGAGGGAAAAA
rnacentral:lncRNA from 1 species